GAUUUGAUCAGUCAGGCUGCUGGCUAUAUUCCAGGACGAGUCUGGUCCUGGUAUAGCCAAGCCCGACUGU
ensembl:miRNA Gm23873 predicted gene, 23873